AACGAACGCUGGCGGCAUGCCUAACACAUGCAAGUCGAACGAGACCUUCGGGUCUAGUGGCGCACGGGUGCGUAACGCGUGGGAACCUGCCCUUAGGUUCGGAAUAACUCCCCGAAAGGGGUGCUAAUACCGGAUAAUGUCUUCGGACCAAAGAUUUAUCGCCUUUGGAUGGGCCCGCGUUGGAUUAGCUAGUUGGUAGGGUAAAAGCCUACCAAGGCGACGAUCCAUAGCUGGUCUGAGAGGAUGAUCAGCCACACUGGGACUGAGACACGGCCCAGACAGCUACGAGGGCGGGCAGGGAGAAACAAGAGAAGGCGGGAGAAAGCCUGACGCAGCAAGUGCGUGAGAGGGAUGGAGGCGUGUGGGUAAUACACUUCUUAUACCCGGAUUGAUAAUGAGAGAAGGGGAAGGGUCAGCUACGGCUACCUCCGCGCCAGAAGCGCAGGAAUAGUGGAGGAGCACCCGUAUGCAC
rnacentral:rRNA from 1 species